rnacentral:rRNA from 1 species
GAUGAACGCUGGCGGCGUGCUUAACACAUGCAAGUCGAACGAUCAAGUCCAGCUUUCGGGGUGGAGUAGUUGCGAACGGGUGAGUAACACGUGAGUAACCUGCCCUUAAAUCUGGGAUAAGCCUGGUAAACUGGGUCGAAUACCGGAUAGGAAAGUUCACCGCAUGGAUGGUGUAGGAAUGAUUUAUCGGUUUUGGAUGGACUCGCGGUCUAUCCGCUUUGUGGUGAGGUAUUGGCUCACCAAGGCGUUGCCGGGUAGCCGGCCUGGGAGGGUGACCGGCCACACUGGUCCUGCGGCAGGGCCCAGACUCGUACGUUCGGCAGUAGUGGGAAACAUUGCGGAAUGGGCGCAAGCCUGAUACAGCGGCGCCGCGUGAGGGAUGACGGCCUUCUGGUUGUAAACCUCUUUCAGUAGGAAAGAAGCGAAAGUGACGGUACCUGAAGAAGAAGCACCGGCUAACUACGUG